CGGGGGAGCAAGCGUUGUUCGGAUUUACUGGGCGUAAAGGGCGCGUAGGCGGCCACCGCAAGUCGACUGUGAAAUCUCCGGGCUUAACCCGGAACGGUCAGCCGAUACUGCGGGGCUAGAGUGCAGAAGGGGCAACUGGAAUUCUCGGUGUAGCGGUGAAAUGCGUAGAUAUCGAGAGGAACACCUGCGGCGAAGGCGGGUUGCUGGGCUGACACUGACGCUGAUGCGCGAAAGCUAGGGGAGCGAACGGGAUUAGAUACCCCGGUAGUCCUAGCCUUAAACGAUGAAUGCUUGGUGUCUGGGGUUCUAUAGUCCCCGGGUGCCGUCGCUAACGCUUUAAGCAUUCCGCCUGGGGAGUACGGUCGCAAGACUG
rnacentral:rRNA from 1 species